rnacentral:rRNA from 1 species
UGGGGAAUUUUGGACAAUGGGCGAAAGCCUGAUCCAGCAAUGCCGCGUGUGUGAAGAAGGCCUUCGGGUUGUAAAGCACUUUUGUCCGGAAAGAAAUCCUUGGCUCUAAUACAGUCGGGGGAUGACGGUACCGGAAGAAUAAGCACCGGCUAACUACGUGCCAGCAGCCGCGGUAAUACGUAGGGUGCAAGCGUUAAUCGGAAUUACUGGGCGUAAAGCGUGCGCAGGCGGUUUGCUAAGACCGAUGUGAAAUCCCCGGGCUCAACCUGGGAACUGCAUUGGUGACUGGCAGGCUAGAGUAUGGCAGAGGGGGGUAGAAUUCCACGUGUAGCAGUGAAAUGCGUAGAGAUGUGGAGGAAUACCGAUGGCGAAGGCAGCCCCCUGGGCCAAUACUGACGCUCAUGCACGAAAGCGUGGGGAGCAAACAGGAUUAGAUACCCUGGUAGUCCACGCCCUAAAACGAUGUCAACUAGUUGUUGGGGAUUCAUUUCCUUAGUAACGUAGCUAACGCGUGAAGUUGGCCGCCUGGGGAGUACGGUCGCAAGAUUAAAAACUCAAAUGAAUUGACGGGGUCAUAGCUGUUUCCU